AUGACUUUCAUCACCGUAUUGAUCUGGACGCUGGCAGUAUUAUGUAGAGAAUCUGUUGGUCAGGUGACAGUGACUCAAACUCCCUCAGAGCGGAUCUAUGAACCUGGACAAUCAGUCACUAUAACCUGUAAAACUAGCAGUGAUCCAAACUGCUGUCACAAUGGAAACCAUUUUCUUAGCUGGUACUUACAGAAACCUGGAGAAGCUCCUAAACUCCUGAUUUUUGGAUCAAUCAUUCGGCAGUCAGGAACUCCAUCUAGAUUCAGUGGCAGUCGAUCAUCAGGGAGAGAUUUUACUCUGACCAUCAGUGGAGUCCAGACUGAAGAUGCUGGACAUUAUUACUGUAUGAGUUCACACUGGAUCAACAGUAAAGAUGUAUUCACACAGUGA